CAUUCUUGAAUAGCUUGACCUCAUAUAAUCGCGGGAAUAAGGCCCGCCAGUUUCUACCGAUCCGCCGUAAACGGAUUGACUAUGAGAAGCAACAAUUAGGAA
rnacentral:ncRNA from 2 species